GGUUAAGUGAAUAAGGGCGCACGGUGGAUGCCUUGGCACUAGGAGCCGAUGAAGGACGGGACUAACACCGAUAUGCUUUGGGGAGCUGUAAGUAAGCUAUGAUCCAGAGAUUUCCGAAUGGGGGAACCCAAUAUCUUUUAUAGGAUAUUACUUUUCAGUGAAUACAUAGCUGAUUAGAGGUAGACGCAGAGAACUGAAACAUCUUAGUACCUGCAGGAAGAGAAAGAAAAUUCGAUUCCCUGAGUAGCGGCGAGCGAAACGGGAAGAGCCCAAACCAACAAGCUUGCUUGUUGGGGUUGUAGGACUCCAAUAUGGUAGUCUGUUAGUAUAGUUGAAGGAUUUGGAAAAUUCCGCUAAAGAGGGUGAAAGCCCCGUAGACGAAAUGCUGACAACACCUAGGAGGAUCCUGAGUACGGCGGAACACGAGAAAUUCCGUCGGAAUCCGCGGGGACCAUCCCGCAAGGCUAAAUACUCCCUAGUGACCGAUAGUGAACCAGUACCGUGAGGGAAAGGUGAAAAGCACCCCGGAAGGGGAGUGAAAUAGAUCCUGAAACCGUGUGCCUACAACAAGUCAAAGCUCGUUAAUGAGUGAUGGCGUGCCUUUUGUAGAAUGAACCGGCGAGUUACGAUUGCAUGCGAGGUUAAGUCGAAGAGACGGAGCCGCAGCGAAAGCGAGUCUGAAUAGGGCGAAUGAGUAUGUAGUCGUAGACCCGAAACCAUGUGAUCUACCCAUGUCCAGGUUGAAGGUGCGGUAAAACGCACUGGAGGACCGAACCCACGUACGUUGAAAAGUGCGGGGAUGAGGUGUGGGUAGCGGAGAAAUUCCAAACGAACUUGGAGAUAGCUGGUUCUCUCCGAAAUAGCUUUAGGGCUAGCCUCGGAAUUGAGAAUGAUGGAGGUAGAGCACUGUUUGGACUAGGGGCCCAUCUCGGGUUACCGAAUUCAGAUAAACUCCGAAUGCCAUUCAUUUAUAUCCGGGAGUCAGACUGCGAGUGAUAAGAUCCGUAGUCGAAAGGGAAACAGCCCAGACCACCAGCUAAGGUCCCAAAAUAUAUGUUAAGUGGAAAAGGAUGUGGGGUUGCACAGACAACUAGGAUGUUGGCUUAGAAGCAGCCACCAUUUAAAGAGUGCGUAAUAGCUCACUAGUCGAGUGACCCUGCGCCGAAAAUGUACCGGGGCUAAACAUAUUACCGAAGCUGUGGACUACACCAUUAGGUGUAGUGGUAGGAGAGCGUUCUAAGGGCGUUGAAGGUCGAUCGUGAGGACGGCUGGAGCGCUUAGAAGUGAGAAUGCCGGUAUGAGUAGCGAAAGACAGGUGAGAAUCCUGUCCACCGUAUGACUAAGGUUUCCUGGGGAAGGCUCGUCCGCCCAGGGUUAGUCGGGACCUAAGCCGAGGCCGAUAGGCGUAGGCGAUGGACAACAGGUUGAUAUUCCUGUACCAGUUGUUUUUGUUUGAGCAAUGGAGGGACGCAGUAGGCUAAGGAAUGCAUGCGAUUGGAAGUGCAUGUCCAAGCAAUGAGUCUUGAGUAGAGUUAAAUGCUUUACUCUCUAAGGACAAGUUGUGACGGGGAGCGAAAUAAUAGUAGCGAAGUUCCUGAUGUCACACUGCCAA
rnacentral:rRNA from 1 species